AUUGAACGCUGGCGGCAGGCCUAACACAUGCAAGUCGAGCGAGCGGCGGACGGGUGAGUAAUGUCUGGGGACUGCCCGAUAGAGGGGGAUAACUACUGGAAACGGUGGCUAAUACCGCAUACUAUCGGAUAACCCAUAUGGGAUUAGCUAGUAGGUGGGGUAAAGGCUCACCUAGGCGACGAUCGCUAGCUGGUCUGCGUGGAUGAUCAGCAACACUGAAACUAAGACACGGCCCAGACUCCAACGGAGGAAGCAGUGGGGAAUAUUGCACAAUCGGUGCAAGCCUGAUGCAGCCAUGCCGCGUGUAUGAAGAAGGCCUUAGGGUUGUAAAGUACUUUCAGCGGGGAGGCGUUACCCGCAGAAGAAGCACCGGCUAACUCCGUGACAGCAGCCGCGGUAAUUC
rnacentral:rRNA from 1 species